rnacentral:lncRNA from 1 species
ACAAGCUGCCAUGAAUCCUACAGCUACAAGGAAAUGAACUCUGUUAACUUGAGUGAGCUUAAAACUAGAUCCUUCCCCAGUCAAGCCUCCAGGUGAGAGAGAAUUCAAUCCUGGCUGGCACCUGGAUUGCAGCUUACAGAAGACCCAGCUAAGGCCAUGUCUGGACUUUAAAUCCACAGGAACUGUGAGAUGGUAUCAGAAGUGGGACCUGCAGUGGGGCAUCUAGCAACCCCCAGGAGCAUUGAGUGACCAGGCAUGGUACCCACUGGGCUCAGGGUGUCCAUUGUUCUCUCGAAGCAACUGAGAAUUGUGGAUAUUCUUUGUUAUUCCAUCAUCAUCUCAAACCUCUUGGGUAUAGUGUUUGAAUGCUACUCUGACCAUAAAUUCCAAUAAAACCUAGGAAAAAAUGAAACUACUAUAUUAACUGAAAGGCAGGAAGGCCCUUGCCGGAUGCCAGCAACUUGAUAUUAGAUU